CAGGUGUGGUUCAAGAAUCGCCGCGCCAAACUAGCUCGGGAGCGGCGGCUCCAGCAGCAGCCCCAGCGCGUCCCUGGGCAGAGAGGCCGAGGAGCCCGCGCUGCGCCCCUAGUCCCUGUAGCCGCUGCCUCCUUCCCUGGGGGUCCUGAGUUCCCGCAGGGCAGGGGUUCCUGGAUCUCCCCUCAGCCGGGCCCCUGGGGAGUCCUCCCAGCAGCAGAACCGAAGAUCUACAGCCUCCCCCGGACCUGGGGUGGCCCUGAGUGUGGAACACAGGAGGGCCUCAAGGCUGUCCCGGCUCCAGGCCCUGGCCCAAUCCCAGCCCCUAUCCCAGGCCCAGCCCAGAUCCCAGGCCCAGUCCCAGGCCCAGCCCCGAAUUUAGGCCCAAUGUCAGGCCCACUGUCAGUCUCGAUCCCCGGUCCAAUACCAGCCCCCAUCUCUUGCCCAGGCCCAAUCCCAGACCCAGUCCUAGGCCGAACCCUGAUGCCAGGCCCAGGAUCACUCCCAACCCCAGCCCCA
rnacentral:lncRNA from 10 species